CCGUGCUGAGAGGACUCUGGCCUCGCUGCACUCAUGGCUUCUCCUAGCAAGGCAGUGAUUGUUCCCGGGAACGGAGGCGGGGAUGUGACCACCCACGGCUGGUAUGGCUGGGUGAAAAAGGAGCUGGAGAAAAUACCUGGUUUCCAGUGUUUGGCUAAAAACAUGCCCGACCCAAUUACAGCACGAGAGAGCAUCUGGUUGCCCUUCAUGGAGACAGAGCUGCACUGUGAUGAGAAGACCAUCAUUAUCGGCCACAGUUCUAGGGCCAUCGCAGCCAUGAGGUAUGCAGAAAAACAUCGAGUAUAUGCUAUUGUAUUAGUGUCUGCAUACACAUCAGACUUGGGGGAUGAAAAUGAGCGUGCAAGUGGAUACUUCACCCGCCCCUGGCAGUGGGAGAAGAUCAAGGCCAACUGCCCUUACGUUGUGCAGUUUGGCUCCACUGAUGACCCAUUCCUUCCCUGGAAGGAACAACAAGAAGUGGCCGAUAGGUUGGAAACCAAAUUGCACAAAUUCACUGACCAUGGCCACUUUCAGAACACAGAGUUUCAUGAACUGAUUACUGUGGUAAAGUCUUUGCUGAAAGUACCAGCAUAGACUGUAUGACUUCUGCUAUUUCGCAUCCCAAUAUAGGGGUAGAAUAAUAUCUACUAUCAGCCGAUUACUAGACACAUGAAACAUCCAGUUAAGUUCCAAAAGUGCCUGAAAAACAAACACAAGUUUCAAUGUUCAAUCUAAGUUACAAAUAGCGUUUCCAUUUUCCAUAGACUCUAAAACUCCCCAAAUUGCUGUGAGCUACCACAGUAUUUUCCUCAUUUGGUAAGAAACGUAAGGACAGCUUAAUUGCCCUUCUCUAACCAAAGUAAGUCAAAAAUAGCACCCAGGUUUCCUGAUUCCUACUCCUGAGUAAAACGAAACAGGUUUUAUGUAUGUUGCAGGUGUCGCAUACUUUGCCUCUUUGAAAUCAAACUUUUCUAUUUCACUGGGGAAAGAACACAUGACUGAAAGUCCAGAGUGUUAGCUUAGAGCUCAAAAUACUAGCUGCUGUUUCAAGCUGGCCCCGGACAUUAAACCCAGACUAGGGCCUACACCUCUGACACUUGCCCCUGAGUCCUUCAGACAUGUUGAGAGAGACUGAGACAGGAGUCUUCCAGAGUCAGGAAGGAAGGAGAAGCACAGCAAUAUACAUACAUAAUAUACGUACGACUGACUAGAUUUGUUUGAGACAAGAGUGGUGGGAUCAGGGCCAUAUGGAGAGCUCAUGGCCUGUCUAAAUUGUUGCUAUGUGGAAAUUGGGCAGAGUGUUACCAAUUUUCUGAUUUUUUGUGUGGAAAAAAA